rnacentral:rRNA from 1 species
UACGAAGGGGGCUAGCGUUGUUCGGAAUCACUGGGCGUAAAGGGCGCGUAGGCGGCAUGCCAAGCGUGUGGUGAAAGCCCGGGGCUCAACCCCGGGUCGGCCGUGCGGACUGGCGUGCUCGAGCACUGUAGGGGCGGGUGGAAUUCCGGGUGUAGCGGUGGAAUGCGCAGAUAUCAGGAGGAACACCGACGGCGAAGGCAGCUCGCUGGGACGGUACUGACGCUGAGGCGCGAAAGCGUGGGGAGCGAACAGG